UACGGGGGGAGCAAGCGUUGUUCGGAUUUACUGGGCGUAAAGGGCGCGUAGGCGGACAUUUAAGUUGGGGGUGAAAGCCCGGGGCUCAACCUCGGAAUUGCCUUCAAUACUGGAUGUCUUGAGUUCGGGAGAGGUGAGUGGAAUGCCGAGUGUAGAGGUGAAAUUCGUAGAUAUCGAGAGGAACACCGGUGGCGAAGGCGGCCAACUGGACGAAUACUGACGCUGAGACUCGAAAGCGUGGGGAGCAAACAGG
rnacentral:rRNA from 1 species